ACGAGCGCCGCGCCGCGCCGCCUCAGUCUCCACCGGCGGGCAGCCUAGGCAGUUGUGCUUUCGGCGUCUUCCUUCCGCGCCCGCAAACGCGUUCUCCGCUCCGUCCGCCUCACUAGUUGUUUUUCGGGGCGGCUGGGCCACGCGCCUGUGGGGCUGGGCCCGGAGCCAGCGGCCGAGCCUUUGGCGCGCGGCGGCGGUGACGGCGGCGUCGGUGGCGGCUGGGUCGGGCCCCGACGGGCGGCAGCGGCUGAGGUGGAGGCGGAAGGAGGCGGUGGCAGCAGAGGAGGGAAGAUGGCGGCGCCCGUCCUGCUGAGAGUGUCGGUGCCGCCGUGGGAGCUGGUAGCCUGGUACGCCGUGUGCGGAUCCUGCUGUCCAUCUACGCCGACCAUGUGGAGCGGGAGAAGGAGCGGGACCUCGAGCACCAGGCCCUCUGCAACCUAGAGCCCUAGGUGAAGUGCUCCGCCGCCUUUGCCUCCAGAAUCCUUGCCCGGAGUCCAGCGCCUCCUUCCUGUCCAGGAUCACCUUCUGGUGGAUCACAGGAGUUGUCUUGAAUCUGCCUGUGCUGGCCAUGUAGUCUCAGAGACACCAACUCUGUCCCCCAAGUCCAUCACCUUGAAUGUGAUAAACACAUGAGCCAUGAGCAGCUUAAAUCUCUGCGGAAGGCUUGGCCUGGGACAGCCAUACACUGGACUGCUCUUACUUUAGCUUCAGAUUUGGGUUUUUAUUUCUUGCCUAGACAUCAUGUUCAAUCUGACAGAUUUCGUUUUUUUAAAUAUUAGGUAUAGUUAUUAUUGACUUUGUUCCCCUCCUGUCCCCCACUCCUUAGAAAAAUAAUACUGUCUCAGCAUAGGAAACGUGGGUUAAAAAAAAGUGUGGAUUAGUAGUAAGGAAACACCCAGAGGCAACCACUGUCACCAUUUUAGUUUGCCUCCUUCUGGUCUUUUCUUUUUGAGAUGGAA